GACUUCAUUAAUCAAUUCAAAUUUUGUAGUGUAAUAAAUAUGUCAUACCCAUAUAAUCAUGCCAUCAAUCCCUGAUACAUAUGUAUUGAUAUAACAUACUCAUGCUCAAAAUCACAUAAAUAGAUAACAGUGUCUCAGAUAUAACAAAUUCAUCGAUCUCAAAUCCAAUGAUGCAAAAUCAAUGAGAUAAAACCAACGGUAAAAUAACAUAUAUAAUGAUGAUCAUGUACAG
rnacentral:lncRNA from 1 species